UGGGGAAUCUUGGACAAUGGGCGAAAGCCUGAUCCAGCGACGCCGCGUGAGUGAAGAAGGCCUUAGGGUUGUAAAGCUCUUUUACCAGGGAUGAUAAUGACAGUACCUGGAGAAUAAGCCCCGGCUAACUCCGUGCCAGCAGCCGCGGUAAUACGGAGGGGGCUAGCGUUGUUCGGAAUUACUGGGCGUAAAGCGCGCGUAGGCGGCUUAUCAAGUCAGGGGUGAAAUCCCGGGGCUCAACCCCGGAACUGCCCUUGAAACUGGAUAGCUAGAAUCUUGGAGAGGUGAGUGGAAUUCCGAGUGUAGAGGUGAAAUUCGUAGAUAUUCGGAAGAACACCAGUGGCGAAGGCGACUCACUGGACAAGUAUUGACGCUGAGGUGCGAAAGCGUGGGGAGCAAACAGGAUUAGAUACCCGCGUAGUCC
rnacentral:rRNA from 1 species